GUUGCACAUGCAUGCCAACACGCCCACACACGCUCGCCCCGUGCCCGCAAUUCCAUCAACACACACCUCCGCACACCCAUGUGCCCGGAUAACCACAGCCAAGCCCACACACGGUUAUUUGGCUGUGGUUUCGUGGCGAACGGAGGGAAGGUUUGCACCAGGGGCCUCGUUCGGAGAGGAGACGCCUGCCAAGCUUCGGAAAUCCUUUGAUGGCUCUGGAACUUGAGCGAAUCUGUCCAAAGUGCUUGACGUGGGAGAUUAUUGUGGUGUCGUGCACCAGAUAAACCUUCAAAGAUCAUGUUUAUGUUGAAAAACAGCCAUAUGUCACGCUUUCGCAUCUGCCACCGCCGGUUGCGAGCCUCGCGCAUGCCGUUACGGUCGAGAUAUCAAGCGGGAUAUGCAUUACGAAAGCACAGUCCCCAGACAGGCAGGCCUUUCAUCUAAAGUUAUUGCCACGCUGCCUGGGGUAAUACAUCACGAAUUCUGUAAGGACAAUGCUAAGAAGCGCAAUCUGAGGACAAAUGCAUCAUAGUUGCACAGUGAGCAUUUUGUUACAAAUAAUGUUGUCAUCAAUUUUCAUCUUUUGUUUAAACAUAUUAGUCUUUUGGACAAGAUAGGUCAUAUUUCAGCAGUUUGAUAAAUUCUCCCUUCUUGCCUUUUCACAGAAUGUGCACUUAAUUAAUUACACAACCUUUAAUUGGACAGAUUAUUCCUAAUGGUUGUGCGAUGCUAAAUGUACAAACUCAGAUGAGGCUCAGGAGUCAUUAUUUUAAUGCCACAUUCUCAGCUCGUUGCAAUCAGUAUAUUUCAAAUAAUUAAUCAGUUUCACAUCGCAAGAAACAUUUGGCCUAAAAUAGACAAAUUAUGCUCACAUUUGUGGAGGGAUUCUUUAAUUUUUUAGGUCUCCAAUACUGUCCUCUUCUGUAAUAUCACAGAUGCGGUGCUUUAUUAAGGACCUCAUGGAAGCAGGAUCACAUUUUUGGCCUAUCAAUGUUUAACGUGCCCAGCUGGAUGGGAACUGGUAAAUGUGGUGCGGCAUGGUACCGGGGGCACGUAGGCCAGGUGACCACAGCAGGCACGCGUGUCAGUCCGUGCUCAUUAACGUGACUGAUAAUGCCAUCUAUCAGCCAUCUAAUUGGCGAUGAGGAUCUGCAGAGGGUA
ensembl:lncRNA